rnacentral:rRNA from 1 species
CUUUACUGCAGCGUAAUAUUGGGUCUAGACAUGACAUGUGUAGGAUAGGUGGGAGGCUGUGAAGAUCUGGCGCCAGCCAGGUCAGAGCCGUCGUUGAAAUACCACUCUUGUCAUGUUUGGAUUCUAACCUGGCGCCGUGAACCCGGGCUGGGAACAGUGUUACGUGGGCAGUUUGACUGGGGCGGUCUCCUCCCAAAGAGUAACGGAGGAGCGCAAAGGUACACUCAGCACGGUCGGCAAUCGUGCGUAGAGCGUAAAGGUAAAAGUGUGCUUGACUGCAAGAGAUACAACUCGAGCAGAUGCGAAAGCAGGCCUUAGUGACCCGACGGUAGCGCGUGGAAGCGCCGUCGCUCAACGGAUAAAAGGUA